rnacentral:rRNA from 1 species
AUUGAACGCUGGCGGCAUGCUUUACACAUGCAAGUCGAACGGUAACAGGCCGCAAGGUGCUGACGAGUGUCGCACGGGUGAGUAAUGCAUCGGAACGUGCCCAGUCUUGGGGGGUAACUACUCGGGAGAGUAGCUAAUACCGCAUACGAGCUAUGGAUGAAAGCGGGGGACCGUAAGGCCUCGCGCGAGUGGAGCGGCCGAUGUCAGAUUAGGUAGUUGGUGGGGUAAAGGCUCACCAAGCCAACGAUCUGUAGCUGGUCUGAGAGGACGACCAGCCACACUGGGACUGAGACACGGCCCAGACGACUACGGGAGGCAGCAGUGGGGAAUUUUGGACAAUGGGCGCAAGCCUGACCCAGCAAUGCCGCGUGCAGGAAGAAGGCCUUCGGGUUGUAAACUGCUUUUGUACGGAACGAAACGGCUCUGGUUAAUAACCGGGGCUAAUGACGGUACCGUAAGAAUAAGCACCGGCUAACUACGUG